AGAGUUGGCUGGAUUUAAUUUGUUCCCAUGCCGUGGUUUUUUUUCUUCCCGUUUCUGAUUAAAAUGUUUCAGUUGGAACACCUACCCUCUUUCUUGCCUCUCUGCCCGUAAUUGUCUGGAGCGACCACCUGUGUUUAGUUCGUGAAGUUGUUCUUCCCUGCUCACAAAUAAUAGUAUGAUGAUGAUGCUAGUAGUCCCAUUCGUUAACUGCAUUUGUUGGCUUAUGGAUAUGAAAAGAUCAAACCUAACUGUAUAGAUGGUCUCACGCCACGUAUGAUAUGUUGAUAUCGCAUCGAUAAACUAUCUGCAAACUAUCUGCAAGAACUAGUAGCAAGUUUCACAGUACGUGAGCCACACUGCGCAGGCGUUUCUUCACGAUUUUUUUUAUGUUUUUUGAGAAUACGAAACUAUUUUUCUCUUGACUCCUUUUCGUUUUGGGCUUGCUGUGGACUACGUGCAGGCAGCUGGGCCAGAAAACAAAAAGGCUGGGCCGUCUA
rnacentral:lncRNA from 1 species